rnacentral:rRNA from 1 species
GGUGAACGCUGGCGGCGUGCUUGACACAUGCAAGUCGAACGGUAUGUGGCAACACAUAGAGUGGCGAACGGGUGAGUAACACGUGGGAACGUACCUUCUGCAGGGGGAUAACUGACCGAAAGGACAGCUAAUACCGCAUAAGACCGAGAGGAGAAAGGUGCAACAGCAUCGGCAGAGGAGCGGCCCGCGGACCAUCAGCUAGUUGGUGGGGUAAGAGCCUACCAAGGCAACGACGGAUAGCCGGCGUGAGAGCGUGGCCGGCCACAAGGACACUGAGAUACGGGUCCUACUCCUACGGGAGGCAGCAGUGCGGAAUUUUAGAUAAUGGAGGCAACUCUGAUCUAGCGACGCCGCGUGCAGGAAGAAGGUCUUCGGAUUGUAAACUGCUGUGGUAAGGGAAAAAUGCCAUGUAGAGUGGAAAGCUACAUGGAGGGAUGGUACUUUACUAGAAAGCCCCGGCUAACUACGUGCCAGCAGCCGCGGUAAUACGUAGGGGGCGAGCGUUACCCGGAAUCACUGGGCGUAAAGGGAGCGUAGGUGGCCUGACAUGUCGACUGUGAAAACCCGGAGCUCAACUCCGGACUUGCAGUUGAAACUGCCAGGCUUGAGGACGGUAGAGGAAGACGGAACUGCCAGUGUAGGGGUAAAAUCCUUAGAUAUUGGCAGGAACGCCGGUGACGAAGGUGGUUUUCUGGGCCGGUUCUGACACUGAUGCUCGAAAGCCAGGGGAGCGAACGGGAUUAGAUACCCCGGUAGUCCUGGCCCUAAACGAUGUUCACUAGGUGUGGGGAGCGGAAAGCUUUCCGUGCUAAAGCUAACGCGAUAAGUGAACCGCCUGGGGAGUACGCCCGCAAGGGUGAAACUCAAAGGAAUUGACGGGGGCCCGCACAAGCGGUGGAGCGUGUGGUUUAAUUCGAUGCUAAGCGAAGACCUUACCAAGGUUUGACAUG